ACUUAACCUGCCCUCCCUCCUCCCCGCAAACAUCAUGUUGUUAAGAUCUUAGAGAAGAUUGAAUUGGUCAUUAGCCUUUUCAGCAAGAUGCCUACAAGAAGCAUAUUGGCUGCCUUUUCCUGGAAAAAAAUGGCUGGCAUAAAAACAAAUAGCCUGUGGAUUUGGUUCAUCAGCACCAUGGACAUAUGAUCAAAGACUUGUAUCCAAUUCAGCAUCUUCACUCUAGGCUUUGGGAUAAAUAGACCUCUCCAUUUGCCACUGACGUGUGUGAAGAACAGCUCAUAACAUGAUUGAACUCCAUUGAUUUUUCAUAAAAGUUUAAUAAGAUGAUACAGGUCAAAAGCUCUGCAAAAUUUGCAAUAAAUUCCUGUGGCAAUCUGAACAAGACUUAGUGGGGAGAGAUGACACCAGAAGAAUUUAAAUACACGUUGAAUUAUAUGGAGGGUAGCAAGGACUUGAAACUUUUUGAUUAAUCAUUUUGAACGUUGGACUUCAGAUUAUGAGAUAUAUAAUGUUGUGUACCUUUCCUUGUGUAUGCUUUCUUUUUGUGUAGAGGUUACUUGCACAUAACUGCUUUAGUAGGCAACAGAUCUCAGAAAAAUUCACUCCCCCACAAAAAAAUAGAAAAAAAAAGCCUCAGAUUUACGUGUGAGUAAAUAGUUUUGGGUUUUGCCAUUUUCCCUGAGAUAGUUGACUAACAUUGCAUGAAUGCGUUCAAAUCAGGUGAGGCUCCAGCUGUGCUACAAUUUUCAACCAAGUCCAGGGCACAGCUGUCUAAUAAGUUCCCUGAGCUGGUUGCAGUAUGAGUUAGAUGCCAUUUAAAAACUGGCUGGGCAAAACACAGAAUCAGAUGUCCUCUGGGGUUACAAUACAGAAAACACCUCUACAGGAAGCCUUGGUAGCUCAUCCAAGAGCUUAGAGGUUGUCCCCAGGCCCCGUUGCCUCCUCUGUGGUGGCCUGGGAGCCCUGGCCACCAGUGGGGGAAGCCUGGUGCAGCACAUCACUGCUGCCACGCUCGUGGCUGCAGGCCAGAGUUGCGGGCUGAAGACUGGCCAGGUUGGUCUGAGGAGUUGUCCCUCAUGACAUGAAUUUUUCAUGAACAACAAAACCUUUUUAUGGCUUAACUUUAUUCCCUGAGCUUGCAGGCUGCAGAGGAACAGGAUGUUUACUGUACGUACAGCAGCCGUUGCCACUGAAGAGGGGCUGCCUUUAGGGCAGGCACGGUUCCCUCCUCAGCUGUGCCGCCGUACUUGCAAUGGUGUCAUGGGUCCCGAGGACCUCCAGUGGGAAUGGGGGCUGCGCCUGGGAAGUCUGUGCCUGGCUGUCCUUAUUGCCCUUUCCAGCAGCAGGAGGCAUGCACUUCUUUCUUCCCGUGCUAGUACCUCCUCUCCCCAGCACUGGCAGGUGAGUUGCCGGUUUUUGCUCUCUACACUGAACUCCAGAACUUAGUGCAGCUCUGCUCAGAUGGAGGGAACAGCACAAGGAUUCAAAACCUGGGUUUUGUCCCUGCCACUGAAACACCCCAGGGCUGAUUCAUUCCCUUUUCCUCUCUUUAGCUUGACCAUUUUCUUUGCAAAAAAACCCCACCCAAAACAUCACUCCCACCUUAAAAAGCUUAUACUGCUUUCGGUGGGCUUAGGGCUAGGAAUGCCAUGAGUUAACAUAAGGAUUCCAUUAAAUUCCAGUUUUGCCUUGAGCGAGAUGGGGGUUCCAUACAGUUUUUCAGGGAAGUGCAUGCUAUGUUCCUCCCAAACGCACUGUGAAUAGGUUUUCAUGCAAGUAAGGUGCCGUUUAAUCUCAUCCUCAGGUUUCAGAUACAGGAUGUGGUAAAAGUCUCCUUGUCAUUAGCUGAUGUUUUUGUGUCACAUGUACUACGUAGAUCACUUCAUGAAAAGGUGUGGAAUUUUCUUUUGAAUUCAAAAUCACAAAAUACAGUUUGUUGAGAACACUAAGAAGUUUUUUGCCACAGGUUUUGUGGCAUGGAGCAGUAUCCUAUUAAAGAUAACCAAGAAUACCAACAUUCCUAUGGAUCUAACACACUGAAAAAUGAGCUUUGUGCUCCCUUGAUAGUUGAGCAGUAUGAGAGGGGAGAAUUCAGUGUAUAAAUCUAAACCCCUCUGGAAAACAUUCUUUAUAGCUCCAAUAAAGUCCCCUAGCUACUUCAGUGUUUGCUGUUGACACCAAAGACACCUGAAUAUUCCUUAAUGUACUGAAAUGUCCCAGAGGGUCACCAGUAAGAAUUGCACAUUUUCUGGUGUGGUGCACAGUUUUUAAAGGUUCCUCUCUAUUACCAUCUUCAUUGCUGUCCUAUAGAUAAAAAACCAGGCAAUUCUCUAUUUGCUUUAUGCGCUGCCUCAGUGCAAUGGCUAUGUCCCAAAGUGAUGCACUCAAAAUGUCAAGUACAAACCCAAAACUGGAGAGAGGAUUCUGCAGGAGCUAUAAAUUCCCUCUUCUCCAAGGGUUAUUUCUGCACUCACCCUUGGUGUGCACAACUUAUUUCUGUGCUUGGGUUAAUGUUUAGGUUUUCUUUGUAAAUCAUCUUUUAUUCUAAAAACUAAAUUGAAAUCCUCCUGUUCACUUAUUAGAUUUGUGGGUUCUGUAGAUUGUACAACAUUUUUAAGUGGGAGAAUUCUGUUUUGAGUUAUAGUUCUUCAAGUGAAGUGUUUAUUUGCUCUAUAACCUUUCCUGUCUGUACUUUCAGAAAGGCAGUCCAGCAGUGGUUUAGGGGCUCAUAUUUUGUAAUUAGUGUCUUAUAAUUAAAAUAUGUUUUCAUAUGAUUUUAAUUUAUCCAGUAUGUACACCAAGCUCUAGAUCUUUGCACAGUGUAAGUUACUACCCAGACACUGUACUUUGUUAGUACUUCAGCGUCUGAUGCGUUCUACAUUUCCUUCACACAUGUGUCUUGUUGGUGUUUCCAUUAGUGUUUAUUCUGAUCAAGUGUAUUUGUGUAAAGAUUAGGACCUGGAGCUGGUUAGCAGGUUUCAAAAGUCAUCACCUUGGAGAGAGUGAUGCUUUAGCUGUGGCAGCACGCCAG